CCUCUCUCUCCUCCUACCGUUCCUCUCCAUGCCCAAUCGCCUCCAUGCGCCCUCGCCGAGAACCCACCCGCCGCCCCGUGUGGGAUUCAGAUCCUCUACAGUCCGGCGCCGCGACGUGUGAUGCCCCUGUGCGGUCCCUCCACUAGCAGCUCCUCAUGGCCGUCUCAGCCUGUUCUGUCCCCACCUCGGCCGAACUCGGGCCUCCUCGCCGCCGUCGGCGUUGGGCCUAGAGAUGUGUUCGAGGUCGAGCUCUUGGAGUGUGUGUGUGUGGGGGGGGGGGAUCGCAGGACAUCGGUAGCCGGAGCAUGGUGGGGCGUCAACUCCAUCGGUCACGAGUACGCUUUCUCGUCAACUUCUUCUUUGUCUCCCCUGUUCUCUUGUUCCUCUCUCGCGAGGAGCAGUUAGACUGAUGGGCUGGGAUUUGUUAGGAUUCGAAUCGAGAUUGUAGUUGUUCGAUUGGGUCUUGAAGUUGUUGAAUUGAGAUGUAUGGGGCUUUGAUUUGAGGAUUAUCUAUUGGUUAGGGUUCUAGGUUCAGGGUCUUAGUAGUUGUUGAACUGAGAUCGACGAGUGGGGUGUGAAUCGGAGACCUAGGCUGCUGUGUCAUGGACCUUGAUGGCAAUUAAUCUCCAGAAGUCAGGUUUCAGAUGUUGGGGAUUCUCUUCCCCUGUGUCUGUCCAUUAUUCCCCAUGUUAUUUGACGAGUAUAAGUCCUAUGGUUGUAUCAGUUGCCCCCUUAUUUUUGGUAAUUUGAUCUUUGCAGUAGUAGAUUUGUUGUCUAUUUGUGUUAGAUAUGAGAUGUACAAGUGAGUUGCACUUGCAUGUGUGCUGCUAGGGUUUGUUUGCUUAUCCUUACUGACUCUGCAUAACAACUAUGACAUGCAUUGAGUUGGCCAUCAGUGUCCAGCAACAAUAUGUCUCCAUUUCUCAUUUCUUUUGCUAGUUUAGUGGUGCCAAUUUUUUUUGUUAAAAUUUUUCCAAAACCCGCAGUAAUUGUAUGAUUAAACUAGCAGAGUAACAACAUUCAUUAGUGUUGUGAUAUGUAAUUCCAUGUCGUUUUGUGAUCGACAGCAUGGUUGAUUAUUUUGUGAAGUUCAUAUGUUGAUCCUCGGUGUGCAAUGGUUUUUUUCUAGGUGAAAACUAGAUAUAAAUUUCAUACUUAAGCAUCAUCAUUUAUUUAUUAGGUAAAAUAGUAUAGUAGGCAAAGAAAAACUCUUUUUCAUGCACGUCUCUGUAGUUGUGAUAUGUGGGACAUAUCUUUGUGAAAUAUCUUAAGAGCAUCAUUCAUAAAAUAUGUUGUAUAUGGCUGUAGUCUUUUGACCUGAUGAAAUUUCACUUUCAUUUUUUUAAGUUGUACAUAUCAUACUAGUCUCUGGUUGCAUCUUGAUUUAACUCGAUAUAGUCACCAUGUUAAUUAUCUUGAAGUCUUGUGUAGUAUGUUGGAACAUUAUAUUUCUUGUUUGAUUACCUGAAAAAAGUCAUAAUCUAAUCUGUUCUUUUUUAUGUGGAUGUUUAUGUGUUGAAAAAAUCAUUCUAUCUGUUAAACCAUCAUGGUUAUAACGUGGCAAUACUUAUGUAUGUUUGCUUUAGGAAAAUCAAGUUAUGCUGUUGUUUCUUAGGUUAUGCUGCUGUGUGUUGAAAGACUCAUUGGUAUGCUGCAAUCCUUAUUUUGGAUCGACAUUUAAUGUUGAUUCUGAUACUUUGAAAGAUAACUGAAUGAAAGCAACCUUGUUCCUGGACGCUUACUUCAAAAUUGUUUUUUUACUGUUAACACACUUUCGUGUGUUGUUUGUCUUGUUUUCUAUGCCUUUAGAAAGGCAUCACCGUGAGCAUAAACAUAUUUCUAUGUGCAUUUAAAUACUCUUUUACUUAUGUUCAGGAUGUGCAUGGAUCUGUUUGCAAGGUGUGCACCUCUCAUUGCAAUUUUGGUUAGGCUUAUAUGUGAUUUUGAAUCCUGAACACCAGAAACCCUAAACCAGUGCUUGUGAUGCACUAACUGAUCUUAAAUGUUGUAUUUAAUUUGUCCAGUUUCAAUUUAUAUUUUAGCCACCUUAUCACCUCUGCUUGUAAUGAACCAUCAUUGGCCUCAAAUAUCUGCAGUCUGAUAGAUGUUGUCAAGGUUGUAGUUUUAUUAGCCUUUUUAUUUUCAUUAGAUUAGAAUUUAUCAGAAAGGGAGCCUUGGCGCAGCGGUAAAGCUGUUACCUUGUGACCAUGAGGUCACAGGCUCGAGUCUUGAAAACAGCCUCUUGCAGAAAUGCAGAGAAUGACUGCGUACAAAAGACCCAAAGUGGUCGGACCCUUCCCGGACCCUACGCAAGCGGGAACUACGUGCACCGGGCUGCCCUUUUAGACUAGAAGCUACCCUUCCCAGACCCUGCACAAGCGGGAACUACGUGCACCGGGCUGCCCUUUUAGACUAAGUUAUCAAGGUCAGAGUUUUAUCUGCAGUCUUACAGUUUUGGGUUAGAGGAAGUACCAGGUGAAGUAUGUUUGCCAUCUGUUUAUCUCCUACCCCUACUUGCAUUGGCAUGAAAUAUCUGAAAUGUUGUAUUUAAUCUGUCCAGUGGAAUUUGAUAUUUUGCCAAGCUGCAAGCUGCGUGUAAGCUACCUACUCUUAUUCAACUGAAAACUGUUAUCUAUGAGAAAUAUUGUCAAAUAGACCAUAGAAUUUGAUGUUUUCUUUUGUUCAGCUAUCAAACUUCUUAAAAAUACACUUGAUGUCUCUUGUUUUAUUGUUUCUCACAAUUUUUUGUGUAAGUAAAAGAGCUUUUUUGCAAAACUUAUUGCAUAUCUAUUAUUGUUGCUAUUUUUCCACCGGAGAGUGUCCCUUUCUGCAGCUAGAUUUUUUAUAUAUAUGCUAAUUAGCAGGCUAUAUCUCUUAGAUUAGCCCCCUCUGGAUGACUUCAAGGUCUGCCACUUAUCUAGACUAAGCAAUUCAUUUUCAUCUAGACAUUUGUUUCAUCCACCAGCCUGCAAGCUAACAUGUAUUUGAUUGUUGGUCUAGUAGUUUAUAAGCUAAGGAACUACUAUAUCUAGUUUUUUUUAUUUGCCAUCUAUGUUUGUGAUGCUCCAUCUUUCACUUGGAUUGUCUGCACUCUGAUCUGAAAUGUUUCAUUUAAUUUGGUCAGUUGUAAUCUAUAUAUUUUUUCCAUACUUUGCUUUUCGACUGCGAGUGGGGCUUAAUGUUAACAAAUACAACAAUGUUUAACUAGACUUGGAUUGCUGUGAUAUAUAAAGAUUGCUUGCAACCUCACUUCCUUCUCAAAUUGUCAUUACAUCCAGUGGAUCAUUUACUCUAUUUUGCAAUAUAUAGUUAUCCAAUGGUUCAUAUAAAGUCUUCUUAUAUAUGCUACUCUCUGACUGAAUGUUUUUCUUCCUACUUGUCAUAUCCCUUUUAUUGGUUAUUUGGUUUACUCAUUCCCGAUUGAAAACUUCUUUCAUUUAAACUUUGAUCUCCAGUCUCGAUAUGAGCAAUCAAGUAAAUAUGAAAAUAUUUCCUGAAAUUUUAGGAUUGUUAUGCUAAAAUUACAUCCUCAUUUAGUGUUGUAAUUUUGUAGUUUGUUACUAUAAAACAUACUAGUCAGCAAUACUUCACUAGGAUUUUCUAUGCCAAAUAUACGCAAGUAUUUUAGUUUCUCCCUGAUGUGUUACUUUCUAGGAUUGCAGGAGUGGAGUUGAUGAGUUGAGGGAGGGAGAAAUCAGUCAGGUUUGUUAAAGUUGCAUUCAUGAUUUGCUUUUGAGGUUGCCCCUUUGUGCGUACUGAUUUGUGGUUCGAUUGCGAGGUAUGUGGCAGAUUCCUUUUUUCUACUCUUGUGGCUGCACAUGUUUUCUGAACGUGGAUGUGUCAUAACUAAUAUGUUACUUUAUGGAAUUGCAUCACCAGAGUUGAUGAGUUGAUAGAGGGAGAACUCUGGUGAAUAAUUCCUUUCCUGCAAAGAUUUGAAUUAGCAUUUUAGUAUGUUGUUAAAGUUACAAAACCUUAACUAAAAACUGUUAGCAGUAGGUCUAGUUUUCUAUGAGUCGUUGUGAGUUGCAUAAGUCUUUAAUUGGGGUCAUAAAAAUCCAGAGUUUCUUGUUGAACUGUUCAUCUGUUUAUUUGUGUAAUAUAUGUCUUCGAUCUUCUCUAAAUUAAUAUAUGUCUUCGCUCUUCUCUAAAUUAAAAGAAUUUCACGUUCCUAACUUUUUCAUAAAAGUUUCACUGAGUGCUAAUUUGAUGAAAGUAACUUUGAUUUUCAACUAAAUGUCUUGUUUGUAAGUGUCAUAGGGAAAAUUACACCCUUAGUAAAAUGACUAAUGGCAUCCUCCUAGCCUCCUAGCCACUUUUCUACUUGUUAACACUCAGAAUUUGACACCACUAAACCUUGGAGAGUGCAAUUAACCUGUUUCUUAGCUUGUCUUAUCUACAAAAUUAGACUAGACAUUUUUUUUGCGUACUAAAUUGACCACAAUAAUACCCUGCUGCUAGGCACUAAGCACUAAUCAUCUGUUGAUAUCAUGCAAUAAAUACUGGACAUCGUUACUGUAGAAUGUUUAAGUUAGUUCAACAGACUUUGCGAUGAAAGUGUUGCCACCUCUACCUCCAUAGACCUAUAUUCAUUUUGAAUUGAUUUCAUGUAGUUUCAACAAUGUAGAAAAUAGGGCAAUCCUUUCUGAAUUUGAGUUAGACACAGACUUUGCCAUGAAAGUGUUGUCAACUAAAUCUCCAUAGCCCUGUAUUCAUUUUGAAUUGAUUUCCAGUAGUUUCAACUGCUGAUGUUAUAGAGAUUGCACCUCUGGUGUGCUGCAGGUACUGCAACCUGCCUAUUUUAAAGACUCUGAUCAACAUGUUUUGAAUGGUGACCACCCUGAUCCAAAUGUAAACCUCCAAAGCUCGGUUUAGGGAUAAGAAAUUCCAUUUUGUAAGGUUUCUUGGUGUGCAACAAGAACAACUGUCGAAGCUCAAAUGUGUUUUGGAGUUCCUUUGUUCUGGGUAAACACUACAUCACAAAACAACAUAAUAAGAAUAACUUUAUAGGUUGUGUUCAUCUUCUUAAACUUUGGAUAGUCUUUAAUGCCUACAUUUCGAAGGGAAAUAUUGCUUGAUAGGGAUGGCUAAAUUGCCUCCCCUAAGUAUGUGAAUCUAGUGUUAUGUGGAGUCAAGUUCUCGGUACUAGGAUUUUCUUUACAUGCAUUCUUAUAUGUAUUCUUAUAUGUGGUUGCUGAUUGGUCAUUUUUUUUGUUAAUUAUCACUCCUGACCAAUGACAAGAAAUCUAUGAGUACACUUAUUCUAGAAUUACACCCUCAUUUAUUAUUGUAAUUUUCUCAUUUUUAACUGUAAAAAAUGACAGUGCAUGCUUUACAAGUGAGAAGGCAGUGUGUCAAGUGAGAAUUACACCCUCCUUGUAAUUUUUUGUUUGUAUUUUUUUGGACCUUUUGCAUAUGCUUCAGAAUGCACAUUGUGUGCAUGUAGGGUAUCUCUUGGAACCAGCAUCAGAUUGGCUCCAAGCAUUAGAAAAUUAGAAAAAUCUGAAUCCUUAACCUGCAUUGCUUCUUAUAAUUGUUUCAUAAAGUAGGUCGGCCCAUUGCUUCUUAUAAUUGAGUCUAAGCAAUAGACAGAUAGUGACUCGGAACUUGAUUUUUCUUCUUCAAAUUUUGAAUUGGGAAUGAUUUCUAGACACAAAUGCAUACAAUAACUUCCAUAUGUUAUUACCGAUCAGUGUGCAACAUAUGUCUAUAUGUCCGUGAAUUGAUAUGUUAUUUAUUUGUGUUGGAUUUGAGAUCAAUCUAGUAGUAAUUUGCACUUGCAUGUGUCCUGCUAGGGUUGUGCACAUCCUUGGUGACUAUCCCUAUCAGUUACCCAUCAGUGUGCUGCAUCGAUCUGUCUCCAUAUCUGAUUUCUUACUGUUUUCCUAGUUUAGUGAUAUUAAUUUUUGCAAUGAAAAAAAAUCUAGAACAUGCAAAAACUGUAUAAUUAAGCUAGUAAUUUUGAUUAGAGUUGUGAUUUGUCAUUCCCGGUUGUUUAGACAUAGCAUAGUCGAUUAUUUUGUGAAGUGCAAAUGCUGAUCCUUAGUGAGCAAUAGUGCUGUUUUAUAGGUCAAAAUUAGAUAUAAGUUUUACACUUGGCCAUUAUUGUUUAAUUGAAUUUAGGCAAAAAUUGUAUAGCAGGCAAAGAAAAACAUGUCUGUUAAGUUUCCUCCAACUCCUUAAAUAUGUACCAUAUCUGAUAGGCCUGAGGCAGGCUAUACUGUUUGGUUGUUUAUAUGCAUUUAUGUUAAUUAAAGGCUCUCACUCUCACCAUGUUCCUGCAAUCUGUAAAGUGAGACUAUUCUGAACCUACUUUGUUGAGCAUAUUUCUUCUGCACUCCAAUUUCUAUUCUAAAACCCAUCAAUCUUGAAAGUAAUAUAUUAAUGUUAGGAACGCUACUUUUAAUUUCAGUUUUGUUAUAGAAUAAUAGAUAACUUAUACUACAAUUAUAUGAUUAUCUAGUAUUGUAAUUUCUUUUGUUUGUUAGUGUAAAUAUGCUAAAGUGCAUCACUUUACUAGAUUUUUGUAAGAGCCAUAUGAGGAACUAUUGAGAACCUUUCAGUCACAGAAAUUUCGGUGUUUAUGUCCUAGUGGUGUAAGGGCAUGGUGAUUCAGUAUGCUUCCACUGGUGGGCUUCUUUGUCAUUGAUUUUGACAAAUCAAGUUUGUUAUUUCUCAAAGGUAAGCUUCCAGUUCUGUACUAUUUGCUAUCUCCAAUACUUAUUUGCAUACUGAAUUUUGUGUAAACAUGCAUGACUUGGUAUUGCGCCAUCAUGACUGCAGUGCUGAUAUAUUGAUGUUUCUCUACUCUAGUGCAGAGUAAUCUGAUUGUUCUCUUUAGAAUACAUUGAUUUCUCUUAAUAUCUUGUGGCUUGGUUCCCUCUCCAUUUGUAUGUUCAGACUUGAGAUUGGGUUUGAAAAGUCACUGGAAGAGAUUGGGUUUGAAAAGUCACUGGAAGUACAUCUUAUUCAGUCAUUGAAGCAUUCCACAAAGUUGGCUUCCUGAUACAGAAUAUACAUAUCCAAGCUAGUGCUCUAACAAGAUUAUAUUAUUAUACCAUGCUGUGCAAUUUCUCAUAUGUAAGUACCUGUGCUAAGUUAACUAGUAUUCUUGUGUAUCUUGCCGUGUAUUGAAAGAAAACACAAUCUUAUGACCCAGAUGUGUAUACUUCUAUUUCUAUGCAAAGGUGUUCAAUAUGUUAUGAUAA